rnacentral:piRNA from 1 species
GAAUAAGGUCAGCCUCUGAGAAUACCUAGG